UCACAAAACCAUAAAAAUCAAUACUUUUAUACAUAGGAAGAUAGGAAGAUUAUCGUAUUGCAUAUCACUUCCUAGGAGGAUUCAAAUUGUUUCGAUCUUCAACCUUUUGGAAACGUAUGACCCAUAAGGUUGAAGCAUUCAUCUGUUUUCAGAUGUUAAAAACAAAUCACAAGGAUUCAAACUGUUUUUGCAUCUUAGGUUUAUCGUGAGACCCAUAAGGUUGAAGAUCGAAACUUUAAUUUGAACAAAGACCCAUAUACGAAAAUCAAAACUUUAAUUUUUAACAAAGCCUCAGAAGUAUAAAAAUCAAAACUUUUUAACUUCGUAGGAAUGUAAAACUGUGAUUUUGUUUUGGUAUCUUUAGGUCUAUUGUGAGAUCCAGAAGGUUGAAGAUCGAAACUUUAAUUUGAAAAAAGACCCAUAUACAUAAAAAUCAAUCAUCUGUUCAUGCCUAUACCGCCAUUGAUAACUGAAGUGGCCAAUAUGUUUCAUACUUUUUCAUUAAACUGAACGCAAGCAUAAGUUUAAACACAAAGUUCCAUACGUUAAAAUCAGUGGUAGUUACUUUUUUCUCGACAGCAAAGAGAUCUUAAUUAUUGACAUCAUUGCGCAUAACUUGAGCUAGAUAAUGAGGAUUAAUUAAUUAAAAGAUCACCCUUGGAUAACUCAUCCAACCAAAAAAGGAUAAAUAAUAAUGCAUAUGCAUAUCUCAAACCAUUUGAUGCAUUAUACUACAAAUUCUAAUCUUAGCAGCUAGUCAAAACAAAAACAAAAAGGUAAUCAAGGAAGGAUCCUGCGUCGCCGGCGUGGAGUCUCUCGUCUCACAUACAUUUUCUCCAUCUCAUUCAGUGGUCGGGUUGAUCCCAUUUCCUCGACAGUGAAAGUCCAUCCAUCUUCAGGGC
rnacentral:lncRNA from 1 species